UGCUGUUAAACAUUUAGAGAUUGAGGUUGUGGUGACUCAGUAUUUCACUCAGUAUAUCUGGGUAAGACACAGUGAACGACUCACUGCUGGCAUUCAUGAAGAAGUCAUAAACUCCACUGGAAUAAUAAAUAGGAUCUAAUAAAACCAUGAGUGGAAAUUAUUGGUGUAAAUUUGAUAGGAUAGAUUCUCCAACCUGGAACUAUAUCCUUCAGUCCACGCGGUGGCGGUAACGCGCUAACAGCUGCGUCUCCGACCAGUAGAAAUCACAGAAGAAGAAAAAGCUGCAGCGGGUAUCUCCUGAGCAGUUGAGUUAUUACACCGAACUAAUCAUCUCCAGAUUAAAUUAUUUCUGACAGUUUUACAGCUAGAUUUGAUCCAGUUUAAAAGUAAAAGCUGGUUAUUUUGUCUGUGUUUGAGGAAUUAAAACUCCGUUCUGUUUUUAAACCCGAGUACCUCAUCCAAGUUCUGCAGAUGUUCAUUAGCCCCUGAGACUAAAAUGCCAUCCAGAUAAACUGUGACGCGUGUGAUGUCUUGCAGAAUCCCUUCUAUUGUGCACUGGAAGAUCGCUGGACUUGAAGCAACUCCAAAUGGUGGCCUGUUUGUCCAAAGCCCGUUGUGGUGGCAGUGCAUGGCGUGUGUGGGGGAGCAGGAGUGGAUCUAAUCACAGCCUGUGAUAUUCGCCUGUGCACACAGGAUGCCUGGUUUCAGGUGAAGUCGUGUGUUCCCUGAUAGUCAAUGAUUGCUGGAGCUCUGGAAAUAGCAGGUGAGAUUGCAGGCCGGAGUCGCGUCGCUGUCCAAGGAACCAAAAUCAACCUCCUCUACUCCUGAGACCACAGUGUAACUGAGAGCCUAGACUACAUGGCUACUUGGAACAUGAACAUGUUGCAGACACAGGAUCUUAUGAAGUCAGCGCAGGCAGCCCUGGAAAAGAAGAGUCCGAAAGACGUGCCCUUCUCCAAGCUUUAAAGGAGAAGAUCCAGGGCUGUUGAAGCUGCGGUGGAACUGAGACUUCAUCAUCCCCAUAUCUUUAGUUUUUCUUGCUAAGUCUCAGUUUCUUUUUAGUCUUUUUAUUUUUAGACUGGUCAAAAGACUGAUUAGUGGAAGUGAAAUGAUGGAUGAACUUUUAAUUACUUGCUUUAUUAUUUGCAGGUGCCUUGUACAGUAAGACAGGGUAACUAAUACUCAAAAGCUUGUUUUGUGUGUUAACAUGUACAGUAGAUGUACAUAUUUUUUCUGGUCCUGUGUGACUGCAGAAUGUAGUGCAGUUAACACAGUAAAUUUCCUUGGAUGCUCACUUUUAACUCGAGGAGGUCACAGUUUGCCCAGACAUCUUUUUUUAAAUCCGUCACCCACACGUCAUUCUGGGGGACGAAGAGGAGGAAGCUGGACAGAUAAAUUUAUUUAUUUAUUUAUCAUUGCUGUGUUUCCUCAAUCGAGGUCAGAAAGAAGAAAAACAACACAACUGAUUUAAAAUAAAAAUAUAGAAAACAAUCUAAUGUAAGGUUCUGAUCCGGUUUGCUUUCAGCAGGAAGGCUGUCCUCUUUCCUGUUGCUCUUUCUCUUCUAUUAGUCCAUUUGUCCAGUCUGAAUCGGUUUGAUUCGUUUCGAGACGAUUCGGAGUCAAAUAAUUUUCUAGUGAGAGUCGCACACUUCCAAACGAACUAGACUGAGAUGAGUAUUUGAUUCUCACUAGAAAGUGAUUCGACUCUGAAUCAACUCGAAAUGAAUCAGUCAAACUGAUUCAGACUCUAUAAAAGGACUAUGAGAUGUGAUUAAGAUAUAUAUUCCAAUGUUUUGCUUUACAAUUCCACUGUGUGUGUGUGUGUGUGUGCGCGCGCGCGCGCGCACGUGCGCACGUGUGUUUUUCAGGAGAACGAGAAACUCUGACACAAGAGUACAUCCUGACCAUUGGUACUGUGUACACAUCAACAUACACACACGUCUCCAUGCUGGACAUCUCAGGAGCUUUCACACAGUGCUAGGAAUAUCCCGGGACAGAGAAACGCACCUCCUAAGUGAGCGAGUUUAGCGUCAACCGGUGAAAUUUGCUGUAGCGUGAACACUUCGCCUCUGUGAGCUUCAAUCUCCGUCAGGUUCACUGUAAUUAGACAUAAAAUGUACAUAAUGUUUAUUUUUCAUACAUUUAGGAUUUAAUGUUUUUUUUUUUUUUUUUUUUACUCUUUGAGGAACAUAAAUGAUAUUUCGAGGCAGCUUCUUCUUCACUACCUGCUCCGUUUGACUCAAAAAUGUAACGACCGGUUUCAAAAAGUCACAAUGUCUUCAGUUCAUGUGAUUUUACUGCUUAAUUUAAACAGGAAAUGUGAAAUAUUUUUUUCCUUUGUUUCCUCUACUGUCUUUUUGCUGUGAUCUUGAACACAGUUGUAAUUUUUUUUUAAAUAAUAAAUAAACGAUCAUUCUAGUUCUCUCACUUUCCUUGUCCUAAUUGUCCUGUAUCUGUUAAAUCCGUUUCAUCUCUGGUCUUUCUGUCUGUAUGAACACUUGUAGAAAUGACUUGUAGUCCAUAUUUUUAAAUGAUUCGUGAUUUUGAAUUUAAAUAAAGAUAUUCUUUAA